GAUGAACGCUAGCGGCAGGCCUAAUACAUGCAAGUCGAGGGGUAGUAAGUAGCAAUAUUUAUGAGACCGGCGCACGGGUGCGUAACACGUAUGCAACCUACCUUUUACUGGGGCAUAGCUCAGAGAAAUCUGAAUUAAUUCCCCAUAACACUGCAGAUUGGCAUCUUUCAGCAGUUAAAGCUCCGGCGGUAAAAGAUGGGCAUGCGGAACAUUAGCUAGUUGGUGAGGUAAUGGCUCACCAAGGCUACGAUGUUUAGGGGGUCUGAGAGGAUGAUCCCCCACACUGGUACUGAGACACGGACCAGACUCCUACGGGAGGCAGCAGUAGGGAAUAUUGGUCAAUGGACGAAAGUCUGAACCAGCCAUGCCGCGUGCAGGAUGACGGUCCUCUGGAUUGUAAACUGCUUUUAUAUGGGAAGAAACCUCUGGAUGCGUCCGGAGCUGACGGUACUAUAUGAAUAAGGAUCGGCUAACUUCGUGCCAGCAGCCGCGGUAAGACGAAGGAUUCAAGCGUUGUCCGGAUUUACUGGGUUUAAAGGGUGCGUAGGCGGAACUCUAAGUCAGUGGUGAAAGCUCUCGGCUCAACCGGGAAAUUGCCAUUGAAACUGGUUUUCUUGAAUACAGUGGAGGUAGAUGGAAUAUA
rnacentral:rRNA from 1 species